UACGGGGGGAGCAAGCGUUGUUCGGAUUUACUGGCGUAAAGGGCGCGUAGGCGGCCAGCACAAGUCAGUUGUGAAAUCUCCGGGCUUAACUCGGAAAGGUCAACUGAUACUGUGCGGCUAGAGUGCAGAAGGGGCAACUGGAAUUCUCGGUGUAGCGGUGAAAUGCGUAGAUAUCGAGAGGAACACCUGCGGCGAAGGCGGGUUGCUGGGCUGACACUGACGCUGAUGCGCGAAAGCCAGGGGAGCGAAUGGG
rnacentral:rRNA from 1 species